rnacentral:tRNA from 1 species
ACCUGGGUGGCUCAGUCGGGUUAAGCGUCUGACUUUGGCUCAGGUCAUGAUCUCACAGCUUGUGGGUUCAAGCCCCACGUCGGGCU